rnacentral:rRNA from 1 species
UACGUGGGGUGCAAGCGUUGUCCGGAAUUAUUGGGCGUAAAGAGCUCGUAGGCGGUCUGUCGCGUCUGCUGUGAAAACUCAGGGCUUAACCCUGAGCUUGCAGUGGGUACGGGCAGACUAGAGUGCGGUAGGGGAGACUGGAAUUCCUGGUGUAGCGGUGAAAUGCGCAGAUAUCAGGAGGAACACCGGUGGCGAAGGCGGAUCUCUGGGCCUUACCUGACGCUCAGGUGCGAAAGCUAGGGGAGCGAACAGG